AUGGCGUGCUCGGCGGCGGCGGGCGUCGAGGCGACGGCCCUCCUGUCCCCCCGCUGCCCCGCCCCUUCCCCGCCCGACGGCCGCUCCCGCCGCCGCCUCGCCCUCGCCUCCCGGACGCGCCACCGCAGCCUCAGGGCGGCCGCGCAGCGUCCUCACAAGAGCACAACCGGCGCCGACCCCCUUAACAACAGGGCAAAUCCAAGGAGCGACGAGGCAGCGGUUUCCGCCGAAAAAGAACGGCAAAGGAAAUACAACGAUGGAGAUGGCAUAUCAAACCUUCAGCUGGAAGAUUUGGUAGGACUGAUACAGAACACCGAGAAGAAUAUACUUCUUUUGAAUCAAGCUCGUCUUCAGGCAAUGGAACACGCUGAUAAAAUUCUUAAAGAAAAGGAAGCCUUGCAGAGGAAGAUAAACAUUUUAGAGACGAGGUUGUCAGAAACAAAUGCACAACAUAAGCUUUCAAGUGAAGGGAAUGUCAGUGACUCUCCACUAUUAUUGGAGUUUGAUGUUCUAAAGGAAGAUAAUAUUCUACUGAAGGAGGACAUAGAAUUUUUCAAAACAAAGCUUAUAGAGAUUGCCGAGACAGAGGAGGGCAUAUUCAAAUUGGAGAAAGAGCGUGCUCUUUUAGAUGCUUCCCUUAGGGAGCUGGAGUCCAGAUUUAUAGCUGCCCAAGCAAAUAUGAUGAAACUUGGUCCUAGGGAUGCCUGGUGGGAGAAAGUAGAAAAAUUGGAAGACUUGCUUGAGACCACAGCAAACCAAGUAGAGCAUGCUGCUGUGAUAUUGGACCACAAUCAUGAUCUGCAGGAUAGGCUUGACAAUUUAGAGGCAUCACUGCAAGCAGCAAAUAUUUCAAAGUUCUCUUGUUCUCUUGUUGAUCUUUUGCAGCAAAAGGUCAAAUUGGUAGAAGACCGCUUCCAAGCAUGUAACAGCGAAAUGCAUUCUCAGAUUGAACUGUACGAGCAUUCAAUAGUGGAAUUUCAUGAUACUCUUAGCAAACUAAUAGAGGAAAGUGAGAAAAGAUCACUGGAGAAUUUUACAGGAAACAUGCCUUCAGAAUUAUGGAGCAAAAUUUCCCUUCUAAUUGAUGGAUGGUUACUGGAGAAGAAAAUAGCUUACAAUGACGCAAGUAUGUUACGAGAAAUGGUUCGGAAAAGGGACAGUCGCCUUCGGGAAGCGUACUUGUCAUACAGAGGUACCGAAAACAGGGAUGUUAUGGACAGUUUUCUUAAGAUGGCAUUACCAGGAACCAGUUCUGGUUUGCACAUCGCUCACAUAGCAGCAGAGAUGGCUCCUGUCGCAAAGGUUGGUGGCCUGGCAGAUGUGAUAUCUGGUCUUGGGAAGGCACUUCAGAAAAAAGGGCAUCUAGUAGAGAUUAUUCUUCCCAAAUACGACUGCAUGCAGGUUGACCAAGUUAGCAAUCUAAAGGUUUUAGAUGUUCUUGUGCAGUCCUACUUUGAAGGAAAUAUGUUCAACAACAAAAUCUGGACCGGGACUGUUGAAGGCCUACCCGUGUACUUUAUUGAGCCACAGCAUCCAGCGAUGUUCUUUUCGAGGGCUCAGUACUAUGGAGAGCAUGAUGACUUCAAACGUUUUACAUACUUCAGCCGUGCGGCACUAGAAUUACUUUACCAAUCUGGGAAGAAAGUUGAUAUAAUCCACUGCCAUGACUGGCAAACUGCAUUUGUUGCACCUCUUUAUUGGGAUGUAUAUGCAAAUCUAGGCUUCAACUCAGCUAGAAUUUGCUUCACCUGUCAUAAUUUUGAAUAUCAAGGAACUGCUCCAGCUCGUGAUUUAGCAUGGUGUGGCCUUGAUGUUGAGCACCUAGACAGACCAGACAGGAUGCGGGACAAUUCACAUGGAAGAAUAAAUGCUGUUAAGGGCGCAAUUGUGUAUUCAAACAUCGUAACCACUGUCUCGCCAACAUAUGCACUAGAGGUUCGCUCAGAGGGUGGGCGUGGACUCCAAGAUACACUUAAAGUACAUUCCAGGAAAUUUCUUGGGAUACUUAAUGGAAUCGACACAGAUACAUGGAACCCUUCCACAGAUAGGUAUCUCAAGGUCCAGUACAAUGCUAAGGAUCUCCAGGGAAAGGCAGCCAACAAAGCAGCCCUCAGAGAGCAACUAAACCUGGCUUCUGCAUAUCCUUCACAACCACUGGUUGGUUGCAUUACCAGGCUAGUUGCUCAGAAGGGUGUACAUCUUAUCAGGCAUGCAAUAUACAAAACAGCUGAAUUAGGAGGACAAUUUGUCCUUCUGGGUUCAAGUCCAGUACCAGAAAUUCAGAGAGAGUUUGAAGGUAUUGCAGACCAUUUUCAGAAUAACAACAAUAUCCGGCUGAUUUUGAAGUAUGAUGAUGCGCUAUCUCAUUGCAUAUAUGCUGCGUCUGACAUGUUCAUUGUCCCCUCUAUAUUUGAGCCAUGUGGCCUCACUCAGAUGAUAGCCAUGAGAUAUGGUUCUGUGCCGAUUGUUCGGAAAACUGGUGGGCUGAACGACAGUGUCUUUGACUUCGACGACGAAACAAUACCCAUGGAGGUGCGGAACGGCUUUACAUUUGUCAAGGCCGACGAGCAGGGCCUAAGCAGCGCGAUGGAAAGGGCGUUCAACUGCUACACGAGGAAGCCCGAGGUGUGGAAACAGCUUGUGCAGAAAGACAUGACGAUCGAUUUCAGCUGGGACACCUCGGCUUCGCAAUAUGAAGACAUCUACCAGAAGGCGGUGGCUCGAGCGAGGGCGGUGGCGUGA
rnacentral:rRNA from 1 species